AAUGGUUUUCUACAAAAUUUAUCACGACUAUUCGAUGCAACGAGAAGAUCGAUUCGAAGCAAUAUUGGAACUCUGAUUUGUAGAACGGAGGAAUGCUGAACAAUAGAAAACGGUCCUAUGAUAGAAUUUAAUCAAACAUUAGCCUGAUACGUUUUAUUGGAUCCCAUCCUAUCGUCUAUCUAACGUUAUGGAAAAAGCUAUAGAGCUACGGGGAGCUUACUGGAGAUGAAAACAUCGCCGACACCACGCAUGGGACUGGAAACAACGAUGGCAGGAUAUUACUUGAAUAAGAAGGAAGAAAAGGACAAACCGGUCCAGACACUGCCAAGCUUGGAAAAAUUCAACGUCGAACAACUUUUCUAUUUAUCCCUUGUCCUCAUCAACUUCGUGAUCGAUCGGUGACAAUAUCUUCACAAAACGACACUGAGCACACUGAGUAGCGGCGACAGCAAUAGGCAGCAUGUGGCUCGAAUAUCCGUAACUUGGACCAGGAAGUUCUUCUGCACGUGGCAUACUCUUCAGAUUUAGCACCGAGAAAUUAUCACUUAUUCAAGUCGUAGGACUGCAGCACUCAUUAGCUAGGCAGCACUUUCAAAAUGUUGCAGAAAUAUAAUAAUGUCCAGUAUCAGCUUUUCGUGACCGAAUCCGAAAUUUGACAGAUACAUCAGAUACCUGAGCAUGACUCUGGAUAGGAGAUUAACGUGGGAACAACACAUCAUAGACAAAUCGAAGCAACUGAAGGAUAAACUUAGAAAAUUCUACUGGCUCACUGGCCGACGUUCCAAUCUAAGCACGCAGAACAA
rnacentral:lncRNA from 1 species